rnacentral:lncRNA from 1 species
AUAGGAGACACUAGUGUAGCUGGCAGCCCGACCGGUGCAGGAGGUGAUGGAGAUCGACUGGGUGGAGCAGGAAUCCCAAUUAUUGGUGCAAAACCAGGACUCAAUGGGACCACCAUUUCAGGGACUGGUGACAGGACAAGUGUGAUUCUACCGGGAGCCAAACCCCUCAAACCCCCAGGUGUUCCCAGAGGAGACACACCAGGUGAGGGAGAUGGAGAAGGAGGCCCUGAUGGAGAGAGGGAGGGUACUAUUGGCAUAGCUGGAGGUCCUACUGGUGCAGGAACACCUGGAAGUGUUUCAGGUGGAGUGGCGGGAACUGGAGAAGGAGGAAGCCCUGCAGCAGGAGGAACACCAAUGCCACAUAAAGAACAUGGAGCUGAUGGAACAACAGGAGGAGGUAGUGGCAGUGCAGGUGGAGUGACGGGUGGGGUCAGCACUGGUCCUGGGUCUGUUGGAGGGGGUCCGGGAAGUGUCGGAGGUGGGACAGGAGCAGGUGGUUUGGUACCAGGUGGAGGAGGUGCAGGAAUUGUUAAACCUGGAAAAAGUUAUGGAGCAGGUGGAGCUGGAGUUUUGCCAGCUGGAGGUAAUGUAACAGUUCCCACCUGGAUUGAGCAAGUUAUCAGACACUGAAGUUUUACAGUUUAUUUGUUUUCCCUUUCAGGUGUUCGUUAUCCGACUGGAGCGGGAGUAGGAGCCGGAAAACCAGGAAAAGGUUCAAAGAGCUAUCAAACG